GGGACUCAAAAAGACACACUCUAACACACUUAGCCAUCACCUUCUGCACCUUAAAAUACACAAAAACUUCAAAAAAGAUCAGUUGAACAUACUGAAUAGUGAGCUGAAAAUCCUGAACUUUGUGAGUGUUUCUUAGAGUGUAAAACUUGUAAGAAAAUAGAGGAAUCCUAGGUGAUUGCUUCAGCAAGUAGCUACUGGUUUCAAAUACUUUCUUGCUGGAUUUUUCUGGGUUGUUUCUCGGAUCAUAUGUUGCUGAUUUUGCUGUUGUUGCAUUGCUUAGUUGCUGAAAUUCAAUCCCUCCCAUACUAAUAUUUUUUCUCUAUUACUCAGGUAAUUUUCUCAACUGUUGUACUACUUUUGGGUCAAGGAUGAAUGCAAAAAUGAGAUGAUUUCUGCUUCUUUAGUUUACUUCCACGCCUUCAAUAAGGUCUGCUCAUUAUGAUGAAUAUGUAUGGAACACCUAUAAUUAAAUAAUUCCAGCUUUUCUUAUUUUCUUGUCAAGUUAUUAGAGUUGCUGAUACAAGUUAUGUUAGGGUUGUGUGAAUUAUUACAUAAGUUUUUUUUUUGAUAAUUAAGGAUUUUCAUUAAUCAUCAAUGAAAGAGCUUUACAAACCACAGUCAAGCUUCAACAUAGCUGACUGUCUAGGGGUUAACAUACAUACUAGUUCUACUUUCCUAACUAUCUAGCACUACUAUAUGUGAAGGUGUUGUAAUAUUUGUCUAAUUUUGGGGUACCUCUAAUGUUACAAUUAUACACUAUGUCUCUUAGGGAAAGGCAGUGUUACAUCAGAAUAUUUUGUUGAAGACUCUAGCAUUCCUUUCCAGCCAGAUAGCAUAGGCAAAUUCAGCUGUGACCAAUUUGAAGAUGGUAGCGCGGGGUGUUCGACCUUUGGCUUUGCUAACCAACCAUUGUAUUUUCUGGUUCCAGUCAUCUUUUGGUGUGUAGGUUUCCUGCAGCCAGUUCAUUGUUCAUUCCCAUAAGUCCACAGUGACAGGGCAGUUCAUUAAUAAGUGAUCUCUUGAUUCCGGGUGGCUUUGGCACAAUGGGCACCGCUGAUCAAUAGUCAUUCCCCAACUGUGUAGUCUGUCCUUUGUUGGGAGUCUAUCCACGAGUAAUAGCCAUAGGUUGAUUGUUGCUUUUGGCCUUGCUUGGUUCUUUAUGAUUAAAUUCUUCCAUGGAACUCUCGACACUGUUUGCAUAUGAGAAUGGUACAACUGUCUUGUUGAGCACUUCUGUUCCUUCCAAUUCUGGAUCCUUUGUAGAACAUCUCUAGCUUGGAUAAUUUUCCUCACCAUCCAACUAGCUUGGGCAGGAAUUGGAAUGGAUUCUAUUGAUCUGUCUUUGAUGUAGUAUACAGUGAUCAACCUAAUCCACAACUUGUCCUUUUAUGUGCUAGAUCCCAGCAGGUCUUUGCAAUGGCAGCUUUGUUCCAGAGCUUUAGGUUAGUUAUGUUCAUCCCCCCAACUGAUUUUGGGGUACACAUUUUUUCCCAAGAGAUGUAGGCUUUCUUAGUUACAGUGUUCAUCCCGGACCAAAUGAAACUCCUACAGAUGCCUUCAAUCAUUUUGAGUACUUUCACA
rnacentral:lncRNA from 1 species